UUGUCAGAUCCUUUGGGGAAUUCUCUGGGUAUUCCUUUCAAGUCUUUGAUUUGUCAUCGCUUUCUUUUCUUGGUGUCUUUCUGAGAUGUUGAUUAUCUUGUUUUCUCUUGUGCAGAGAAUAUAGUGUUCGGCAAACUGAUGCAGAACCAAGUGUUGGGGGUCAUUUUGGGGGCCAAAUCUUCUAAGGAGGCCCCUGCUUCCAGUGACUUCAAGGGGGCCUCCCCAGGCCCUAUAGCGAGGAGUUCCUCAAAGAAGCCUCGGACGGGGCACCUUCUUCUCGCACCUCCUCCAUGCCUCUCCCUACUCCUCCCUCUAGAGAAGAGAUGGAUACUCCUUCAGGACCUGCCCAUGCACCUCCAUAGUGUCUUCACAGUCGCCAUCUGCUCGAUCAAGACAAAGGGAAGUCCUCCCUGGUAGUUGAUUGGAGGAGGGGGGUUCUAUCGCCCGGGGACAGGCAACUGCUAUCUCCUCUUGCUAAGGUGGAGUUAGAAGGGAUGGGGGCCUUGUAUCUCUUCAAGGUCCUAGGGAACCCCUUUUUUUGGUGAUGCCCAGAGGCGUAAGCUGGAGGACAGGUUGGAGCGCAUAGAGAACGAGAAUGUCAAAUUGAGGGAUGCCAAGAAGGAGGUGGCAAAAUGAUGUCAGCAACUGGAGAGGGAGGUGAGGCAACUGAAGAAUGAGGCAGCCACCUAGGAGAGCGCUCUAAAGAAGGCAGUGAUGGACUUCCCCCACUCCGAGGAAAAGAAAAACUUCCUGGAGGCUUAUUUGGAGAGUCGCCUGAAGGAGUUCAAGGGCUCUGUGGAGUAUCAGUAGGAUGUAGCAAAGAUAGCAGGGCCCUUCUUUGAAUAUGACUUUUCAGUCUGCAAGGAGUAGUUCCAGGCUCAAGGGUACCCCUCUACAGGAGAAGAGUCAUCCUUUCUUGAUCUUGCUACAGCUUUGGAUAAUGCACCCGAUUCCUUUGUUGAGCCCUCCGUCUAGGGAGAUGGAGCUCUCCCCCCAAACUCAGAAGGAGACCUGGAUACCAUUUUGGGGGAGGCCGAUGCAGAGAUAAGGAGUCCCCCCUACAAAGCCGCAAUAUACCACAACGAGGGAUCUUUAGGGAGAGGGUGCUCCUGAAGAGAAAUGAGAAGGGCCCCCUCUAGCCAUAGAUGGAACUCUUCCUGUUGCCUCCUCGCCUGUUGCCGACAACCCUCCGGAGAAGGAAUUGGAAGACUCACGUGGGGAGAAAAAUUGGUGUAAAAUGCAUAUUAGUUGGAAAACAAUUUAUUUCUUUGCUUGGCCUGCUACCCCCAUCUGAAAUGAAGUUGAAACAAUUUUAUUUUUCUGCUUCCUGGGAUAUUUUCAAUUCACCCCUGACCAUGUUUAGGCUAGGGGUUUAGUAAUGCACUUCGCUUGGUUCCUGCUUUUCAUACUUGUUGUUCAUCUCCAUGAAUGAGG